GAUGAACGCUGGCGGCGUGCCUAAUACAUGCAAGUCGAGCGAACAGAUUAGGAGCUUGCUCCUCUGACGUUAGCGGCGGACGGGUGAGUAACACGUGGAUAACCUACCUAUAAGACUGGGAUAACUACGGGAAACCGGAGCUAAUACCGGAUAAUAUAUUGAACCGCAUGGUUCAAUAGUGAAAGACGGUUUUGCUGUCACUUAUAGAUGGAUCCGCGCCGCAUUAGCUAGUUGGUAAGGUAACGGCUUACCAAGGCAACGAUGCGUAGCCGACCUGAGAGGGUGAUCGGCCACACUGGAACUGAGACACGGUCCAGACUCCUACGGGAGGCAGCAGUAGGGAAUCUUCCGCAAUGGGCGAAAGCCUGACGGAGCAACGCCGCGUGAGUGAUGAAGGUCUUCGGAUCGUAAAACUCUGUUAUUAGGGAAGAACAAAUGUGUAAGUAACUAUGCACGUCUUGACGGUACCUAAUCAGAAAGCCACGGCUAACUACGUG
rnacentral:rRNA from 1 species